rnacentral:rRNA from 1 species
GUAGGGGGCGAGCGUUGUUCGGAUUUACUGGGCGUAAAGAGAGCGUAGGCGGUUGGUCAAGUCCGGUGUGAAAGCUUUACCGCUCACCGGAAAGAGGUCAUCGGAAACUGGUCAACUAGAGUCGGGUAGAGGCAAGCGGAAUUCCUGGUGUAGCGGUGGAAUGUGUAGAUAUCAGGAAGAACAUCGGUGGCGAAGGCGGCUUGCUGGGCCCGCACUGACGCUGAGGCUCGAAAGCGUGGGGAGCGAACGGGGAUUAGAUACCCCGGUAGUCCACGCUGUAAACCGGUGCGCACUAGGUGUGAAGGGUUAUCGACCCCCCCUUCGUGCCGCAGCUAACGCAUUAAGUGCGCCGCCUGGGGGAGUACGACCGCAAGGUUA